UUUACGACCAUAUCAGGUUGAAACACCGAUUAUGGCACGAUCACCGAAGUUAAGCAACGUCGAGCCGGGUCCGUACCAAGCUGGGUGACCACUUGGGAACACCAAGGGCUGCAA